rnacentral:snRNA from 1 species
AGCUUUGGGUAGUGGCAGUAUCAUAGCCAAUGAGGUUUAUCCGAGGUGCAAUUAUUGCUAAUUGAAAACUUUUCCCAAUACCCUGCCAUGGUGACUUGAAACAUGGUCGGCAUUGGCAAUUUUUGACAGUCUCUAUGGAGA